rnacentral:rRNA from 1 species
CUUCCGUUAAUUGAUUAUGACGUACUUGUACUGAUUGAGAUUUUAACACGAAGUGAGUGGCGAACGGGUGAGUAACACGUGGGUAACCUGCCCAGAAGUAGGGGAUAACACCUGGAAACAGAUGCUAAUACCGUAUAACAGAGAAAACCGCAUGGUUUUCUUUUAAAAGAUGGCUCUGCUAUCACUUCUGGAUGGACCCGCGGCGUAUUAGCUAGUUGGUGAGGUAAAGGCUCACCAAGGCAGUGAUACGUAGCCGACCUGAGAGGGUAAUCGGCCACAUUGGGACUGAGACACGGCCCAGACUCCUACGGGAGGCAGCAGUAGGGAAUCUUCCACAAUGGACGCAAGUCUGAUGGAGCAACGCCGCGUGAGUGAAGAAGGGUUUCGGCUCGUAAAGCUCUGUUGUUAAAGAAGAACGUGGGUAAGAGUAACUGUUUACCCAGUGACGGUAUUUAACCAGAAAGCCACGGCUAACUACGUGCCAGCAGCCGCGGUAAUACGUAUGUGGCAAGCGUUAUCCGGAUUUAUUGGGCGUAAAGCGAGCGCAGGCGGUCUUUUAAGUCUAAUGUGAAAGCCUUCGGCUCAACCGAAGAAGUGCAUUGGAAACUGGGAGACUUGAGUGCAGAAGAGGACAGUGGAACUCCAUGUGUAGCGGUGAAAUGCGUAGAUAUAUGGAAGAACACCAGUGGCGAAGGCGGCUGUCUGGUCUGCAACUGACGCUGAGGCUCGAAAAGCAUGGGUAGCGAACAGGAUUAGAUACCCUGGUAGUCCAUGCCGUAAACGAUGAUUACUAAGUGUUGGAGGGUUUCCGCCCUUCAGUGCUGCAGCUAACGCAUUAAGUAAUCCGCCUGGGGAGUACGACCGCAAGGUUGAAACUCAAAAGAAUUGACGGGGGCCCGCACAAGCGGUGGAGCAUGUGGUUUAAUUCGAAGCUACGCGAAGAACCUUACCAGGUCUUGACAUCUUCUGACAGUCUAAGAGAUUAGAGGUUCCCUUCGGGGACAGAAUGACAGGUGGUGCAUGGUUGUCGUCAGCUCGUGUCGUGAGAUGUUGGGUUAAGUCCCGCAACGAGCGCAACCCUUAUUACUAGUUGCCAGCAUUAAGUUGGGCACUCUAGUGAGACUGCCGGUGACAAACCGGAGGAAGGUGGGGACGACGUCAAAUCAUCAUGCCCCUUAUGACCUGGGCUACACACGUGCUACAAUGGAUGGUACAACGAGUCGCGAGACCGCGAGGUUAAGCUAAUCUCUUAAAACCAUUCUCAGUUCGGACUGUAGGCUGCAACUCGCCUACACGAAGUCGGAAUCGCUAGUAAUCGCGGAUCAGCAUGCCGCGGUGAAUACGUUCCCGGGCCUUGUACACACCGCCCGUCACACCAUGAGAGUUUGUAACACCCAAAGCCGGUGGGGUAACCUUUUAG